rnacentral:misc_RNA from 1 species
CAAAAGAGUUGCAAGACUCGCCAACCCCAUGUGAACCUACCUCAACGUCGCCUCGGCGGGCAGCCCCAGGGCGGGGCCGCCGCCUCCCGCAUUAGGGAGGUGCCCGCCGGAGGCCCAAACAUACUCUUUGUCUCUACGUGGUUCUUCUGAGCAUACAUAUACAAUAAAUCA